rnacentral:rRNA from 1 species
CCUACGGGAGGCAGCAGUAGGGAAUAUUGCUCAAUGGGGGAAACUCUGAAGCAGCAACGCCGCGUGGAGGAUGACGGUUUUCGGAUUGUUAACUCCUUUUGUUAGAGAAGAUAAUUACGUUAUCUAACGAAUAAGCACCGGCUAACUCCGUUACAGCAGCCGCGGUAAUACGGAGGGUGCCAGCGUUACUCGGAAUCACUGGGCGUAAAGAGCGCGUAGGCGGGUUAGCAAGAGUGAUGUGAAAUCCUAUGGCUUAAUCGUAGAACUGCAGUUGAAACUGGUAUUCUUGAGUAUGGGGGAGGUAGGUGGAAUUCGUGGUGUAGGGGUAAAAUCCGUAGAGAUCAAGAGGAAUACUCAUUGCGAAGGCGACCUGCUAGAACAUAACUGACGCUGAUGCGCGAAGGCGUGGGGAGCGAACAGGAUUAGAUACCCGGGUAGUC